AAGUCGUAACAAGGUAACCGUAGGUGAACCUGCGGUUGGAUCAUUAACGAAUUAUGGACGUUAUCUGGCAACUCAGACGUUAGUCGAAGGUUGUUAGAUGGCGGACAGACGAGGGGUCACUCUUCUAGCGCAAGUUAGCUGGAUGGCACCUCAAACCUUAAAACCUUGCCGGGUAUUGGCUACUUGAAGGAAACUUCCUGCAGUGAAUGUCCGAGCGAACACAAUUUGAACCUGUUGUCUUGUGUCUGGCCUGAACUACUCUUUGCGGAAUAGUCCAUGUCAGUCCAGGACGACAGCCCCCUAGAAAAACAUCUUGUUAAUCUUUUUUAAACAACUACCAAAGCCACUCCAAACUAACAAUUUGAAGCAGCCGCGAUAGAAGAAUGAAAAAACAACUUUUGACAACGGAUCUCUAGGCUCUC
rnacentral:misc_RNA from 1 species